rnacentral:rRNA from 1 species
CCUUUGACAUGUACGGAACCCUUUAGAGAUAGAGGGGUGCUCGAAAGAGAGCCGUAACACAGGUGCUGCAUGGCUGUCGUCAGCUCGUGUCGUGAGAUGUUGGGUUAAGUCCCGCAACGAGCGCAACCCUUGUCAUUAGUUGCUACAUUCAGUUGGGCACUCUAAUGAGACUGCCGGUGACAAGCCGGAGGAAGGUGGGGAUGACGUCAAGUCCUCAUGGCCCUUAUAGGUGGGGCUACACACGUCAUACAAUGGCUGGUACAAAGGGUUGCCAACCCGCGAGGGGGAGCUAAUCCCACAAAGCCAGUCGUAGUCCGGAUCGUAGUCUGCAACUCGACUACGUGAAGUCGGAAUCGCUAGUAAUCGUGGAUCAGAAUGUCACGGUGAAUACGUUCCCGGGUCUUGUACACACCGCCCGUCACACCAUGGGAGCGGGUUCUGCCAGAAGUAGUUAGCUUAACCGCAAGGAGGGCGAUUACCACGGCAGGGUUCGUGACUGGGGUGAAGUCGUAACAAGGUA